rnacentral:rRNA from 1 species
UGGGGAAUAUUGCACAAUGGAGGGAACUCUGAUGCAGCGAUGCCGCGUGGAGGAAGAAGGUUUUCGGAUUGUAAACUCCUUUUAUCAGGGACGAUAAUGACGGUACCUGAAGAAAAAGCUCCGGCUAACUACGUGCCAGCAGCCGCGGUAAUACGUAGGGAGCGAGCGUUGUCCGGAAUUACUGGGUGUAAAGGGAGCGUAGGCGGGAUAGCAAGUCAGAUGUGAAAACUAUGGGCUCAACCUGUAGAUUGCAUUUGAAACUGUUGUUCUUGAGUGAAGUAGAGGUAAGCGGAAUUCCUAGUGUAGCGGUGGAAUGCGCAGAUAUCCGGAGGAACACCAGUGGCGAAAGCGGCCUCCUGGACCACUCCUGACACUCAGACGCGAAAGCUAGGGUAGCAAACG